UGCCAGUAAGGACAAACAUCCUGUCUUCCCCCCUGUUCUAGCCCCAGAGCCAGUAAUGGUGAACCCACUGGGGUAGCUGGGAGAGAGAAUGAGAACUUGGUUCCAUAAGGAACUGUCUGAGGUCU
rnacentral:snoRNA from 1 species